UACAGAGGUGGCAAGCGUUGUUCGGAAUUACUGGGCGUAAAGGGCGCGUCGGCGGUUCGAUAAGUCCCGUGUGAAAUCCCUCGGCUCAACUGAGGAACUGCACGGGAAACUGACGGGCUUGAGUUCGGGAGAGGGAAGCGGAAUUCCGGGUGUAGCGGUGAAAUGCGUAGAUAUCCGGAGGAACACCGGUGGCGAAGGCGGCUUCCUGGACCGACACUGACGCUGAGGCGCGAAAGCUAGGGGAGCAAACGGG
rnacentral:rRNA from 1 species